AUGAACCUUUACCCGAGCAGCCAAAAUACAGCUUCGGUUCUGCCAUGCUAUCAUGCACAAAAAGCUCCAUUACUUUGUGUCGCCUAUGAGUUUCUACAGUUGUGGUCCUGGGAAUACCUCCCUGUAGGACGACCUCGUAUAGUACAACCCAUAUACCCAUACGACUUUGGCAAGGGUGCUAGCGCAACUAUGGCCACCAGGUGGACAAAGGCACAGAAACGUUGGUCUCCAGAUACUGCGAAAAAUUGUUACCCUAUGUACCACCAGCAGUUUGAGAUACUUGAUGAGGCAGAAGUCACAUGGAACCCGUGGACUCAGGACCAGCUAAAAAUGGUCUUUGAUGCUCGACACUUCACACCAGGCAUGUUGACCGAUAGUGCAUUCUGGCUGACUCACUGCAACUUAUUGUUUCUGUGGUGUGUUGAACCUUACAACCCAGAGCGUGUAAUGAGAUAG
rnacentral:rRNA from 1 species